AGUGAACGCUGGCGGUAGGCCUAACACAUGCAAGUCGAACGGCAGCACAGUAAGAGCUUGCUCUUACGGGUGGCGAGUGGCGGACGGGUGAGGAAUACAUCGGAAUCUACUUUUUCGUGGGGGAUAACGUAUGGAAACUUACGCUAAUACCGCAUACGACCUACGGGUGAAAGCAGGGGAUCUUCGGACCUUGCGCGAUUGAAUGAGCCGAUGUCGGAUUAGCUAGUUGGCGGGGUAAAGGCCCACCAAGGCGACGAUCCGUAGCUGGUCUGAGAGGAUGAUCAGCCACACUGGAACUGAGACACGGUCCAGACUCCUACGGGAGGCAGCAGUGGGGAAUAUUGGACAAUGGGCGCAAGCCUGAUCCAGCCAUACCGCGUGGGUGAAGAAGGCCUUCGGGUUGUAAAGCCCCUUUGUUGGGAAAGAAAAGCAGCAGGUUAAUACCCCGCUGUUCUGACGGUACCCAAAGAAUAAGCACCGGCUAACUUCGUG
rnacentral:rRNA from 1 species